UGUGAUUAACAUAUGAGUGUCUUUGAGCAAUCGACAUACUGUUUUCUAUGGACUUUGAACUAAUUUACAAUCCCACCAACAAUGUGCUGAAGUGCAGUCAGUGGCACAAUCUCAGCUCACUGCAACCUCCAUCUCCC